GACGAACGCUGGCGGCGUGGAUUAGGCAUGCAAGUCGAACGGUAUCAUCCUUUCGGGGGUGAGAGAGUGGCGAACUGGUGAGUAACACGUAGGUUAUCUACCCUCAAGACGGGGACAACCCAGGGAAACUUGGGCUAAUACCGGAUGUGAGCAACUUUUAGUUGUUUGAAAGGUGGCGUAAGCUGUCGCUUGGGGAUGAGCCUGCGUCCUAUUAGUUAGUUGGUGAGGUAACGGCUCACCUAGGCAAUGAUAGGUAGGCGGCCUUAACGGGUGGUCGCCCACACUGGGAUUGAGAUACGGCCCAGACUCCUACGGGAGGCAGCAGUCGAGAAUAGUCUACAAUGGUCGGAAGACUGAUAGUGCGACGCCGCGUGAACGAUGAAUCCCUUCGGGGUGUAAAGUUCUUUUAUAUGUGAGCAGUGCUUCUUAUAUUAACAGUAUGGGGAGAGAGAUAUUAGCAUAUGAAUAAGCAACGGCUAACUCCGUGCCAGCAGCCGCGGUAAUA
rnacentral:rRNA from 1 species